rnacentral:rRNA from 1 species
AACGAACGCUGGCGGCAGGCUUAACACAUGCAAGUCGAGCGCCCCGCAAGGGGAGCGGCAGACGGGUGAGUAACGCGUGGGAAUCUACCGAGCCCUGCGGAAUAGCUCCGGGAAACUGGAAUUAAUACCGCAUACGCCCUACGGGGGAAAGAUUUAUCGGGGGUUGAUGAGCCCGCGUUGGAUUAGCUAGUUGGUGGGGUAAAGGCCUACCAAGGCGACGAUCCAUAGCUGGUCUGAGAGGAUGAUCAGCCACAUUGGGACUGAGACACGGCCCAAACUCCUACGGGAGGCAGCAGUGGGGAAUAUUGGACAAUGGGCGCAAGCCUGAUCCAGCCAUGCCGCGUGAGUGAUGAAGGCCUUAGGGUUGUAAAGCUCUUUCACCGACGAAGAUAAUGACGGUAGUCGGAGAAGAAGCCCCGGCUAACUUCGUGCCAGCCGCCGCAGUAACAC